rnacentral:rRNA from 1 species
GGAGCGGCCGAUAUCUGAUUAGCUAGUUGGUGGGGUAAAAGCCUACCAAGGCGACGAUGAGUAGCUGGUCUGAGAGGACGACCAGCCACACUGGGACUGAGACACGGCCCAGACUCCUACGGGAGGCAGCAGUGGGGAAUUUUGGACAAUGGGGGAAACCCUGAUCCAGCAAUGCCGCGUGAGUGAAGAAGGCCUUCGGGUUGUAAAGCUCUUUUGUCAGGGAAGAAACGGUUCUGGAUAAUACCCGGAACUAAUGACGGUACCUGAAGAAUAAGUACCGGCUAACUACGUGCCAGCAGCCGCGGUAAUACGUAGGGUGCAAGCGUUAAUCGGAAUUACUGGGCGUAAAGCGUGCGCAGGCGGUUGUGCAAGACAGAUGUGAAAUCCCCGGGCUUAACCUGGGAACUGCAUUUGUGACUGCACGGCUAGAGUGUGUCAGAGGGGGGUAGAAUUCCACGUGUAGCAGUGAAAUGCGUAGAUAUGUGGAGGAAUACCGAUGGCGAAGGCAGCCCCCUGGGAUAACACUGACGCUCAUGCACGAAAGCGUGGGGGGCAAACAGGAUUAGAUACCCUGGUAGUCCACGCCCUAAACGAUGUCAACUAGUUGUCGGGUCUUAAUUGACUUGGUAACGCAGCUAACGCGUGAAGUUGACCGCCUGGGGAGUACGGUCGCAAGAUUAAAACUCAAAGGAAUUGACGGGGACCCGCACAAGCGGUGGAUGA